ensembl:lncRNA
AACACAUCUUAAACCUGAAAUCGUCACCAGACCACCUGACGCUUGCCUGAAGGCUGUUCAGCCCUGGCAGCUAUAACCAUUCCCAGCAGUCAGCUUGGUGCAGCAAGCAUUUCUUGCUGUAAAUGAAGCAGUUCACAUUUGCUUGCAAUUUAAAAGAUUACAACCUGACACAACAGGCCUGAAGUGAGGUCUUUCACAUACACAAAUCUAGUAAGUGUUUGAAAUUAAAGCAGACCACACUGGUAACGCAAAUACUGGAAGCCUUAACAUUUCAUAUACAAGAUGUCAACAUGCAGGUAGAAAAAAAAAAGGUUAAGUAAAAAAGAAAGAAAGAAAGAAAGAAAGAAAGAAAGAAAGAAAGAAAGAAAGAAAGAAAGAAAGAAAGAAAGAAAAGCUCAAAUUCUGUAGCAUUUAUAAACCAAGUGUGGACCUCUGUGUGGCUUAUCAUGGGACAAAGUCCACCUCAAAAAUGGCCACACAGAUGUAAACACACAGGUGCAUGGUGCUAACUGUUUGGAUCACAAAAUUGAGGAAGCUAAUGUGUUAACCUGCUUACAUCUACACAAAAAUGAAAAAUUUAUAAUAAAAAUGUAAACAAUAUAUCACUGGGUACCUGGAAACCGUAUUGACUUUUUUUUACGUUCUGAAACCGACUGCAACUUGUGAUGACUAAAUGGUUGCCCAGAGUUUGAGUGUGGCACACUCACAACCACUCCUGAUCGCAAGGCGAUUGCACAGGUUGCCUGAUAAGAGGCAUUUUUUCUAAAGUAGACUGACAGCAGUCACUCGCAGAGAGAGAUUGUUGAAGCAAAUAAUUGCUAAGUUAUCAAAGGGGACAGACUGCCAACAUGUUGUCAUCAGUCUGAAUGAGUCUUUGUCAAUGACCAACGCCAGUGUCACAAAUGAUUUAGCAGACUGACUUUAUCUUGUGGGAAGUUUUAGCAGCAGUUUAGGCGUGCUUGACAAUCUCAUUUUGCAGCCAAAAAACAGAAUAUAGUAAAAAAUAUAAUUUGCCGUUGAAAAGGUGGUGUUAAAUCACAAAACAUCUUUUUCUUCUGAUUAUCCACUUCAGGGUUGCGGUGGACUGAAGCCUAUCCCA